rnacentral:rRNA from 1 species
UGCCCUGCACUCUGGGACAAGCCCUGGAAACGGGGUCUAAUACCGGAUACUGACCCUCGCAGGCAUCUGCGAGGUUCGAAAGCUCCGGCGGUGCAGGAUGAGCCCGCGGCCUAUCAGCUUGUUGGUGAGGUAAUGGCUCACCAAGGCGACGACGGGUAGCCGGCCUGAGAGGGCGACCGGCCACACUGGGACUGAGACACGGCCCAGACUCCUACGGGAGGCAGCAGUGGGGAAUAUUGCACAAUGGGCGAAAGCCUGAUGCAGCGACGCCGCGUGAGGGAUGACGGCCUUCGGGUUGUAAACCUCUUUCAGCAGGGAAGAAGCGAAAGUGACGGUACCUGCAGAAGAAGCGCCGGCUAACUACGUGCCAGCAGCCGCGGUAAUACAUAGGGCGCAAGCGUUGUCCGGAAUUAUUGGGCGUAAAGAGCUCGUAGGCGGCUUGUCGCGUCGGUUGUGAAAGCCCGGGGCUUAACCCCGGGUCUGCAGUCGAUACGGGCAGGCUAGAGUUCGGUAGGGGAGAUCGGAAUUCCUGGUGUAGCGGUGAAAUGCGCAGAUAUCAGGAGGAACACCGGUGGCGAAGGCGGAUCUCUGGGCCGAUACUGACGCUGAGGAGCGAAAGCGUGGGGAGCGAACAGGAUUAGAUACCCUGGUAGUCCACGCCGUAAACGGUGGGCACUAGGUGUGGGCAACAUUCCACGUUGUCCGUGCCGCAGCUAACGCAUUAAGUGCCCCGCCUGGGGAGUACGGCCG